rnacentral:misc_RNA from 1 species
UCAAACUUGGUCAUUUAGAGGAAGUAAAAGUCGUAACAAGGUCUCCGUUGGUGAACCAGCGGAGGGAUCAUUACCGAGUGUUACAGCUCCCAAACCUUCUGUGAACCAUACCAAACGUUGCUUCGGCGGGUUCGCCCCGGUGCCCACGCGCGCCGGACCCAGGCGCCCGCCGGAGGCCCCAAACUCCUGCUUCAACCAGUUUUCUCUCUGAGUGGCACAAGCAAAUUCGAAUCAAAACUUUCAACAACGGAUCUCUUGGUUCUGGCAUCGAUGAAGAACGCAGC